AUCGAGCUAAGACCAAAAGUCUCCGAACGUGCAUGCUUUCCAUAUGCGCGUAUACGUGAGCCGCACAGCAAGUUGCACACAUGUGGUGGUGGUGGCCGUCAGCCGUGCUUUUUUGGCAGACAGUGGUCUGUAGCUUGCUGUGCGUUGAGGGGGGAUAGGUGACGUACUGGGCUAGUUAGAAAGGUACGUCGCUAGCGCCUAUUCUCUCGUUAUUCGCAAAAACGGUGUCCUCUUUGGCGUCUGCGCCUCACCUAGCUAUUGCCUGGACCGUCGGUAGCGAUGAAAGGUGGGGAGAAAGCUCCUCUUUCCGAGUCGAGUAGACUUAAUGAGCCUCAGCUAGGAGGCCGCCAAAACCCAAACACAACCAGUCUUAUGUUUGAAGUUGUAGAAGGUGUUUCUAACCCUUGUUUGGGUGGAUCGUCUUCAAAUCGAGUUA
rnacentral:misc_RNA from 1 species